CUUAAAGAGACAGUCCUAUCUGUUACUUCUGACUUCAGAAAAAACAAAAUUUAUUUGUCCUUCCUUCUGGCCUUCGUAAGGGAGAAGCGGUCUCUUCCUCUACCUUACGGAGAUGGAUAGCUUCUGUCAUAGCAGACUCCCACCUGCGGAACAAGCUGACUCCUCCAGCCAAGAUCAGAGCUCACUCCACCAGAUCCCUGGCUACAUUUUGGG